rnacentral:rRNA from 1 species
GCCUACGGGGGGCAGCAGUGGGGAAUAUUGCACAAUGGGGGAAACCCUGAUGCAGCGACGCCGCGUGAGUGAGGAAGUAUUUCGGUAUGUAAAGCUCUAUCAGCAGGGAAGAAAAUGACGGUACCUGACUAAGAAGCCCCGGCUAACUACGUGCCAGCAGCCGCAGUAAUACGUAGGGGGCAAGCGUUAUCCGGAUUUACUGGGUGUAAAGGGAGCGUAGACGGCUAAUCAAGUCAGAAGUGAAAACCCAGGGCUCAACCUUGGGACUGCUUUUGAAACUGGGUAGCUAGAGUGCAGGAGAGGUA